CCGUUACCAAGAUUUUUUUAAUUUUACAAUCAGCAUAUACAAACAAAGACAACAUUUACAACUCAUAUAACUUAGAUAAUAAGAAUUCUAAAUAUAUUCUUAACUGUAAAUAAGUGGUACCUUAAAAAAAAAAAAAAAAGGAUAGGAGGUAUUAUUUAUGGUUUAACAUGAAAAAGCUUUGCUUUAGUGAAAUGAUGGGUAGUAAAUAAAAUUUUAAUCACAGUUUUAGUAUGUUUCACAGUCACAAUGCAGAUCUUCUCAUGUUAUUCUAUUGCUGCUUCAUAAAACCUUGGAGUUGACUAUACCAUUCCCU